GACGAACGCUGGCGGCGUGCUUAACACAUGCAAGUCGAACGGAAAGGCCCUGCUUUUGUGGGGUGCUCGAGUGGCGAACGGGUGAGUAACACGUGAGUAACCUGCCCUUGACUUUGGGAUAACUUCAGGAAACUGGGGCUAAUACCGGAUAGGAGCUCCUGCUGCAUGGUGGGGGUUGGAAAGUUUCGGCGGUUGGGGAUGGACUCGCGGCUUAUCAGCUUGUUGGUGGGGUAGUGGCUUACCAAGGCUUUGACGGGCAGCCGGCCUGAGAGGGUGACCGGCCACAUGGGGACUGAGAUACGGCCCAGACUCCUACGGGAGGAAGCAGUGGGGAAUAUUGCACAAUGGGCGGAAGCCUGAUGCAGCAACGCCGCGUGCGGAAUAACGGCCUUCGGGUUGUAAACCGCUUUCGCCUGUGACGAAGCGUGAGUGACGGUAAUGGGUAAAGAAGCACCGGCUAACUACGUG
rnacentral:rRNA from 1 species